UGUCGCCCAAGAGGUCGCAAGUUCAAUCCCACCACACCCCAAAAGCUCACCCAGCCGGCGUGGAAAGUGGGUAGUGAAUUUGGUUCACGAAAGGUAAAUCGGAGCAUACUGCUAGUCCCGGUACGGCCUUAAUUCAGACUAGAAGAGAUA
ensembl:ncRNA F45B8.6 ncRNA